rnacentral:rRNA from 1 species
GACGAACGCUGGCGGCGUGCUUAACACAUGCAAGUCGAACGAAGUGGCGAACGGGUGAGUAACGCGUAAUCAACCUGCCCUUCAGAGGGGGACAACAGUUGGAAACGACUGCUAAUACCGCAUACUGAUGUAGGGGUAUGCGUCGGAUUAGCUAGGUGGAGGGGGAACGGCCCACAAAGGCGAUGAUCAGUAGCCGGUCGUGGAGGAUGAACGGCCAAAGUGGGACGGAGACACGGCCCAGACUUCUACCGGAGGCAGCAGUGGGGAAUUUUCAGCAAUGGACGAAAGUCUGACGGAGCAACGCCGCGGGAGUGAUGACGGCCUUCGGGUUGUAAAGCUCUGUUAAUCGGGACGCGGUACCGGAAUAGAAAGCCACGGCUAACUACGUGCCAGCAGCCGCGGUAAUUC